UAGGGAAUAUUGGACAAUGGGGGCAACCCUGAUCCAGCCAUGCCGCGUGAGUGAAGAAGGCCCUCGGGUUGUAAAGCUCUUUUGUCCGGAAAGAAAAGCUUCGGGUUAAUACCCCGGGGUUCUGACGGUACCGGAAGAAUAAGCACCGGCUAACUUCGUGCCAGCAGCCGCGGUAAUACGAAGGGUGCAAGCGUUACUCGGAAUUACUGGGCGUAAAGCGUGCGUAGGUGGUUGUUUAAGUCUGAUGUGAAAGCCCUGGGCUCAACCUGGGAAUGGCAUUGGAAACUGGGCAGCUAGAGUGCGGUAGAGGGUAGUGGAAUUCCCGGUGUAGCAGUGAAAUGCGUAGAGACCGGGAGGAACAUCGGUGGCGAAGGCGACUGCCUGGACCAGCACUGACACUGAGGCACGAAAGCGUGGGGAGCAAACA
rnacentral:rRNA from 1 species